GAGCCAGGGCUGGGCCUGGGAGGGGCGGGGGUGCAACUGGUGUCCAAACUCACAGGCUACUCCCCCAGGCCUCAGUUUCCCCACCAGUGCAGGAGGGAGUGACUGUCAAGAGCCUUCUCUGAGCCAUGCUGGGGCCAACACAUCCACGGGACCCACUCCCGCCUUGGCUUCCCCAGGGCCCUGUGGGUGGGUAGGUGGGUGGGUGGGGCCUGGCAGGCUUCUCCACGUGAGGCUGCGAUGCUCUGGUGUUCGGCAGAGGCUGUGUGGGCGCAGAGCGGGUACUUACCUGGGCUCUGAGGUCGUGCGGCUGCAAAGGAAAUAGGCACAGUCUGGGACCUGUGGGCGUGCCCCCCCCUCCCGCCGCCUCAGCCGGGGGUCUGCAUGGAACACGCUUAGGGCUGGCAGGCACGGUGCCCACCGCUGUGUGGGCUGCAGCACAGGGGCUGCCCAUCUUCUUCCUCAAGCCUCCCCUGAGCCUCUCUGCCCCCAGUGGGGGUCAUGGCUGCUCCAGCCGGAAGCACUGCAUGUGGGCACACAGACCAGACGAAAAGAGCUGCCGGCAGUGGCAAAGCUGAUCUAGUUCCCGACACUGAAGGUGGGGAUGGCGUGGGUCACACAGGACAGGGGCUGCCACGGUCCCAGCCCCCGGAAGGUGGGGAUGGCGUGGGUCACACAGGACAGGGGCUGCCACGGUCCCAGCCCCCGGAAGGUGGGGAUGGCGUGGGUCGCACAGGACAGGGGCUGCCACGGUCCCAGCCCCCGGAAGGUGGGGAUGGCGUGGGUCGCACAGGACAAGGGCUGCCCCAGGACCUCUGAGGUGGAGAAGACGUGAC